GCACUGCUGCAGAGUCCCAAACAAGAUGAAACAGUUGUCCAGUAC
rnacentral:hammerhead_ribozyme from 1 species